GACGAAGGAUGCAAGCGUUAUCCGGAUUCAUUGGGUUUAAAGGGUGCGUAGGCGGCCCGGUAAGUCAGUGGUGAAAUCUCCUUGCUUAACAAGGAAACUGCCAUUGAUACUGCUGGGCUUGAGUACAGAUGCUGUGGGCGGAAUAUGACAUGUAGUGGUGAAAUACUUAGAGAUGUCAUAGAACACCGAUUGCGAAGGCAGCUCACAAAACUGUAACUGACGCUGAGGCACGAAAGUGCGGGGAUCAAACAGG
rnacentral:rRNA from 1 species